rnacentral:rRNA from 1 species
GAUGAACGCUAGCGGGAGGCCUAACACAUGCAAGCCGAGCGGUAUUGUUUCUUCGGAAAUGAGAGAGCGGCGUACGGGUGCGGAACACGUGUGCAACCUACCUUUAUCUGGAGGAUAGCCUUUCGAAAGGAAGAUUAAUACUCCAUAAUAUAUUGAUUGGCAUCAGUUGAUAUUGAAAGCUCCGGCGGAUAAAGAUGGGCACGCGCAAGAUUAGCUAGUUGGUGAGGUAACGGCUCACCAAGGCGAUGAUCUUUAGGGGGCCUGAGAGGGUGAUCCCCCACACUGGUACUGAGACACGGACCAGACUCCUACGGGAGGCAGCAGUGAGGAAUAUUGGUCAAUGGGUGCAAGCCUGAACCAGCCAUCCCGCGUGAAGGACGACUGCCCUAUGGGUUGUAAACUUCUUUUGUAUAGGGAUAAACCUACCCUCGUGAGGGUAGCUGAAGGUACUAUACGAAUAAGCACCGGCUAACUCCGUGCCAGCAGCCGCGGUAAAACG